rnacentral:rRNA from 1 species
GUUACUGCUAUCGAGGUUCGACUAAGCCAUGCGAGUCGAAUGUAGCAAUACAUGGCGUACUGCUCAGUAACACGUGGAUAACCUACCCUUAGGACAGGGAUAAACCCGGGAAACUGGGUAUAAUACCCGAUAGAUCUCGAAUGCUGGAAUGCCUCGAGAUCGAAAGCUCCGGCGCCUAAGGAUGGAUCUGCGGCCUAUCAGGUAGUAGUGGGUGUAGCGUACCUACUAGCCUACGACGGGUACGGGUUGUGAGAGCAAGAGCCCGGAGAUGGAUUCUGAGACACGAAUCCAGGCCCUACGGGGUGCAGCAGGCGCGAAAACUUUACAAUGCCGGCAACGGCGAUAAGGGGACCUCGAGUGCCAGGUUACAAAUCUGGCUGUCGAGAUGCCUAAAAAGCAUUUCAUAGCAAGGGCCGGGCAAGACCGGUGCCAGCCGCCGCGGUAACACCGGCGGCUCGAGUGGUAACCGUUAUUAUUGGGUCUAAAGGGUCUGUAGCCGGCCGGAUAAG